UCCUGAACAUAAAUCUGUGGACCCGGGAAAAAGCUAACGUAAUACCAGAGACAUCGACAAAGAAAGGAAAAGAGAAAGUUGACGAGGAGUAAUCCGAAAAAUUUACGGUUAGGUAUGAAAGCGACUAACAACUCAGCAUCCAAGCCAAGCCCAAACUCAAAUACUUGCUGACGUAUUUUAUUUUGAGAAAUGACAUGUACCUAGGUUGUUUUUUGGAAGUCAUUCUGAAUGUGAAUGUUAAUAGUGUAAGAAUGUUAAUGGUUAACCUAUGAAUGCAAAGUUUAUGU